GCCCGGAUGGUGGAAUUGGUAGACACAGGGGACUUAAAAUCCCCCGGACAUUGCGUCUGUGCCGGUUCAAGUCCGGCUCCGGGCA
rnacentral:tRNA from 1 species